CUUGCUCUUCUGGAUGAGUUGCGAACGGGUGAGUAACGCGUAGGUAACCUGCCUGGUAGCGGGGGAUAACUAUUGGAAACGAUAGCUAAUACCGCAUAACAGCAAAUGUUGCAUGACAUUUGCUUAAAAGAUGCAAUUGCAUCACUACCAGAUGGACCUGCGUUGUAUUAGCUAGUUGGUGGGGUAACGGCUCACCAAGGCGACGAUACAUAGCCGACCUGAGAGGGUGAUCGGCCACACUGGGACUGAGACACGGCCCAGACUCCUACGGGAGGCAGCAGUAGGGAAUCUUCGGCAAUGGACGGAAGUCUGACCGAGCAACGCCGCGUGAGUGAAGAAGGUUUUCGGAUCGUAAAGCUCUGUUGUAAGAGAAGAACGAGUGUGAGAGUGGAAAGUUCACACUGUGACGGUAUCUUACCAGAAAGGGACGGCUAACUACGUGCCAGCAGCCGCGGUAAUACGUAGGUCCCGAGCGUUGUCCGGAUUUAUUGGGCGUAAAGCGAGCGCAGGCGGUUAGAUAAGUCUGAAGUUAAAGGCUGUGGCUUAACCAUAGUACGCUUUGGAAACUGUUUAACUUGAGUGCAAGAGGGGAGAGUGGAAUUCCAUGUGG
rnacentral:rRNA from 1 species